rnacentral:lncRNA from 11 species
CUCUGAAUGGUGAUAUGUUAAUAAGGCACUCACAUGCCUAUUCUUCAGGUACAGCUCUGCAUUCUCUACCUAGGUAAUCUCCAUGGAGGAAAAGCUAUUAGGGGCUUGGAUCUGCUACCACACCUUCAAUUAUAUUAACACCUGCACAGAUAAUCCGCACAAGAAAAUAGCAAAUACUUGGAAUGAUUACUAUGGAAACUGAGACUGUUAUACUUUGGCCAUAUCAAGAGAAGAUGACUGAUUAGAAAUACAAUAAUGCUUUCUGCUACUAGUAUAUUGUCAUUUGCAUAUCGUAAUUAGUUGAUGUUCCUUCCUCCAAUUUUUACGUCUCCUUCCCAUGAGUUCAUGUGUGAUAUUUUCAAUAUGCAAAUUAAACACAUAAGAUGCUGAAAUGCAGCCUUGCCUGAUGCCCUUGACAAUUGGAAAUCGUCUGUUUCUCCACAACCUGUCCUAAC